rnacentral:sRNA from 1 species
GAAAGUUCUGAUCAAAAUACACAAAGACACAAGCCAGGUCCCCACCGCGCUUGGCAUCCAUAGCAGCCUUGGUGCUGUGGACACUCCCUGGGGCCCAGCGAAGGGGAGAGUUUGCUCCCAAAGGCACACCAAUGACCAACAUUUGCCCCCCGGAGGAAAGAACUGGAACCAGGUGUCUGUGAUAGGGCCCCUGACUUCCUCUCCCCGUCUGAAGACCAGGUGCUGAGGCCUGCCUUGGGCAGCUCAGUGGCUCUGAACUGCACGGCUUGGGUAGUCUCUGGGCCCCACUGCUCCCUGCCUUCAGUCCAGUGGCUGAAAGAUGGGCUUCCGUUGGGAAAUGGGGGCCACUACAGCCUCCACGAGCACUCCUGGGUCAAGGCCAACCUGUCAGAGGUGCUUGUGUCCAGUGUCCUGGGGGUCAACGUGACCAGCGCUGAAGUCUAUGGGGCCUUCACCUGCUCCAUCCAGAACAUCAGCUUCUCCUUCACUCUUCAGAGAGCUGGCCCUACAAGCCACGUGGCUGCGGUGCUGGCCUCCCUCCUGGUCCUGCUGGCCCUGCUGCU